rnacentral:rRNA from 1 species
GACGAACGCUGGCGGCGUGCCUAACACAUGCAAGUCGAACGGGGGGAACAUGAAGUAUUUCGGUACGGAAUGCGCCCCUAGUGGCGAACGGGUGAGUAACACGUGGGCAACCUGCCCCAGACUGGGGGAUAACAUUGUGAAAACAGUGCUAAUACCGCAUGACAGGGUUCCGGGCAUCCGGGACCCUUGAAAGGAGAAAUCCGGUCAGGGAUGGGCCCGCGUCCAAUUAGCUAGUUGGCGGGGUAACGGCCCACCAAGGCGACGAUUGGUAGCCGAACUGAGAGGUUGAUCGGCCACAUUGGGACUGAGACACGGCCCAGACUCCUACGGGAGGCAGCAGUGGGGAAUAUUGGGCAAUGGGCGAAAGCCUGACCCAGCGACGCCGCGUGAAGGAUGAAGGUCUUCGGAUUGUAAACUUCUUUUGAUCAGGGAAGAAAGAAAUGACGGUAACCUGAAAACAAGACCACGGCUAACUACGUG